rnacentral:rRNA from 1 species
GACGAACGCUGGCGGCGUGCCUAAUACAUGCAAGUUGAGCGCUGAAGGUUGGUACUUGUACCAACUGGAUGAGCAGCGAACGGGUGAGUAACGCGUGGGUAAUCUGCCUUUGAGCGGGGGACAACAUUUGGAAACGAAUGCUAAUACCGCAUAAAAACUUUAAACACAAGUUUUAAGUUUGAAAGAUGCAAUUGCAUCACUCAAAGAUGAUCCCGCGUUGUAUUAGCUAGUUGGUGAGGUAAAGGCUCACCAAGGCGAUGAUACAUAGCCGACCUGAGAGGGUGAUCGGCCACAUUGGGACUGAGACACGGCCCAAACUCCUACGGGAGGCAGCAGUAGGGAAUCUUCGGCAAUGGACGAAAGUCUGACCGAGCAACGCCGCGUGAGUGAAGAAGGGUUUCGGAUCGUAAAACUCUGUUGGUAGAGAAGAACGUUGGUGAGAGUGGAAAGCUCAUCAAGUGACGGUAACUACCCAGAAAGGGACGGCUAACUACGUG